rnacentral:rRNA from 1 species
AUUGAACGCUGGCGGCAUGCCUUACAUAUGCAAGUCGAACGGUAACAGGUCUUCGGAUGCUGAUGAGUGGCGAACGGGUGAGUAAUACAUCGGAACGUGCCCGAGAGUGGGGGAUAACGAGGCGAAAGCUUUGCUAAUACCGCAUACGAUCUCAGGAUGAAAGCAGGGGACCGCAAGGCCUUGCGCUCACGGAGCGGCCGAUGGCAGAUUAGGUAGUUGGUGGGAUAAAAGCUUACCAAGCCGACGAUCUGUAGCUGGUCUGAGAGGACGACCAGCCACACUGGGACUGAGACACGGCCCAGACUCCUACGGGAGGCAGCAGUGGGGAAUUUUGGACAAUGGGCGCAAGCCUGAUCCAGCCAUGCCGCGUGCAGGAUGAAGGCCUUCGGGUUGUAAACUGCUUUGUACGGAACGAAAAGACUCUGGUUAAUACCUGGGGUCCAUGACGGUACCGUAAGAAUAAGCACCGGCUAACUACGUGCCAGCAGCCGCAGUAAAAC